CUCCUGCUAUUUCUAAAGGAAAAGGAUUAAUCCACAUUUAUACUGACUUAUUUUUAUUUCUGAAAUGAAUAAAGGUCUUGGAUUUCAUCCCCAAAGUCUCCUCUCACUUUCACAUGCUCCAUGUCCAUAAUUCUGAUUCUUCUGCGUCCUGUGUUUGCCAAACAGAAUGUGAUAAACAUUCUGAAGCCGAGCUGACCUCAGUUCCAAAGCCAGUGUCUGGGACAACCAAAGGAGCCUGGGAUGCUAGUCCUGCUGACCUUCCCCAGGCUGCCAGCCAAAGGCAGUGAGUGGAGCAAGCUGUUCUUACACAAGUGGGGAAGGUAGAGGGCACUUUCCUAGCUGCCUCAAGGUCAGGAGCAGGUGGGAAAGAAGAGAAGAAAUGGGCACUACAGCAGUCUUGACAUGAAGGAGAGAUAUUGCUCAUCUUUCCCACCGAGUCUGUAGUAUUGGAUGGGCACUCAUGCCGGUAUUUAUUAGAGGCUGUUUAUGACCCUCCGGGGGUCAUCAAGAGCAGCGGGGCUCCUGUCAGACAGGGCUGGGAGACCAGGAGUCUUGCUUAACCGAAAUUGGCCAGGUAAUUGGUAGGCAAUUCGCUUCCUCAGAGGAAUGUCUCGGAGAAGCUCAAUCAUGCAUAGCCCUUCAGCAUCUUCUCUCACUUGCCUUUUUCUUGUGUGUGCAUUUCAGUUCUGGAAAAUGUUACUUGGAAAGUCCCAGUCAAGACAGGAAGCUUGGCAGAAAGAGCCUAGGUCCUGCCCUCAGGGCACUGACGUUCUCUUGUGAGGGUGGAUGCACCAGAUGCAACGGGAAGCAAAUAGGACGAGGUGCCCCACAUAACAAGCCAGAGGGGAUCUGGAUCUCAAAAGAACCAUUCACAUCAUCAUCUUUGAAAGAAGUCCCAACUUACAGUUCAAUGUUCAAUAUUUUGGACCCUGACUUGCUCAUGCAGUCUGUUAUGUAUUCCUGCUAGCUUUGUGUCAUCUGAAGAUCGGAUGAGCACAUCAUCUUUGUCCUCAUGCAAGUUACUGACAAGAAAAGGAAACAUCACAGGGCCAAGCAGGGAGGGAUCGCUGGGAUUUUCAGCUGGAACCCUCCAACCACACUGACAUCAAACAAUGAACACUUGCCCUGAGUGUGACCAUGCAAGAAGUUCUGAAACAAUGAUCACAGGCCUGGUGAUGAUACCAUGUGGAAAGUGCUCUGCCUACUUUAAUGCAUCCAAAGUGUUUCAGCUGUUAUUAUUUUGACCUUUGCUUGAAGCAGUCAAGGGCCUGAGUGUACCCAGACACCUUAUUCUGCCUGACUAUUAAUUAGAUCUUUUUAACUGAAAAUGUUCAGUGUAGAUUAUAUGCAACAUUUAAUUCCUCCUCAUCAAUUCCCAGGCAGGCAAUCAAGUCAUAUUCCACAUUUUGCUUAAUGCAACCUAGCAGGGAGUUGGUAAUUCUGGAGACUGAAGCCAGCUCCCCUCCAUCUCGCAUUUGCCUUCUUGCUGUCUCAUCCUGCCUCACUCUGGCUUUGAAUGACAGUGGAGAGAUCCAGAAUGUCUUUUCAAAAGAGAGCCAAGAGAGUCUUGCCACAGGUGGUGGUCAGGACUAAUGUGCGUUUGCAUCACUAGCCUCGCGUCCCACUCUCUUAAUUAGUUUUGUCUGUUUAUGGUUCGGUAAUUAAGCAAAUUGUUCUAAGUAACUAAAAAAUAAAAGCCAAGAAACACAUUUCCA
rnacentral:lncRNA from 1 species